rnacentral:tRNA from 1 species
AUUGAUAUAACUCAGCAGUAGAGUGUCGCCUUGACAUGGCGGAAGACAUCAAAUUGAGCCUGAUUAUCUCUA